CCUUUACUGACGCUAAAGCUCGAAGGUGCGGGUAUCGAACAGGAUUAGAUACCCUGGUAGUCCGCACGGUAAACGAUGGAUGCCCGCUGUUUGCGAUAUACUGUGAGCGGCCAAGCGAAAGCGUUAAGCAUCCCACCUGGGCAGUACGCCGGCAACGGUGAAACUCAAAGGAAUUGACGGGGGCCCGCACAGGCGGAGGAACAUGUGGUUUAAUUCGAUGAUACGCGAGGAACCUUACCCGGGCUUGAACUGCAGCAGAACGAUUGAGAGAUCAUGAGGUCCUUCGGGACUGCUGUGGAGGUGCUGCAUGGUUGUCGUCAGCUCGUGCCGUGAGGUGUCGGCUUAAGUGCCAUAACGAGCGCAACCCCUCUCUUCAGUUGCCAUCAGGUAGGGCUGGGCACUCUGGAGACACUGCCACCGUAAGGUGUGAGGAAGGUGGGGAUGACGUCAAAUCAGCACGGCCCUUACGUCCGGGGCUACACACGUGUUACAAUGGGUGGUACAGAGCGUCGGCGGCCUGCAAAGUCCGUCCAAUCGCAAAAUCCAUCCUCAGUUCGGACUGGGGUCUGCAACCCGACCCCACGAAGCUGGAUUCGCUAGU
rnacentral:rRNA from 1 species